AUGAAGAGCAUGGCCACCACCAUAUAUGUCCUUGCCUUGUCACUAACCACCACCACCUUGCUCUUCACCGGCAGCAGUGCAUGCCCGCGUGAUCCGUUAAUGACCAUCGCAGCCGCAUGCCACCAGGUGAGCACAGGGCAACCCUUGUUGGAGCUCUGCAUGAAAACAUUGCAUGCUGCAUUUGAGAAUAGUGAGGUCACCGAGUACGCCAAUAUUGCUGCGGGUACUGCACAAUAUUCGUGUCAAGAAACCCAGCGCAUUGGCAAGAAUUUGUUGCAGAACCCGUCGCUCCCCAAAGAGCUGCGGGCAGCGUACGAUCACUGCAUUGGCAAGUACGACAUGGUGAAGAACAAGAUCGGAGCCAUCGAUAAUGCCGUGCGCACUUGCUGGUUCGCAACCUUCAAGCAGGACUGCGUGGAUGUUGCCGCUGCAAUCGACGAUUGUGCUCAUAACUUGCAGCCCGUCGGCUCAUCUUCGCCAUUGUACAAGAUGGUUUUAACUGACCGGGAUCUGAGCACACUUAGUUGCUCGCUGGCACUCCACGGUGUCGCUAAGCAAUGGCAUUAA
rnacentral:rRNA from 1 species